AUCAGGGUCCAGUUGGUCCAUCAGGUCCCCACGGUCCCCCUGGCCCCACGGGUCUGUCUGGUGCUACUGGUCCAAAGGGCUCUAAAGGAAACCUGGGUCCGAUUGGUCCCAGAGGAGAUAUUGGGCCUGCAGGACCUCCAGGACCACCAG